rnacentral:lncRNA from 1 species
UUCUGUUACUACAAUUUCAGAUUACAUUAACCUUUCAAGCAACCACAGCAUACUUUUGUUUCAUAUUAAUCUUAGUAUAAAUUUAAGGCACGUAAUUAUUACUUGAGAAUGUUAAUCUCUGUGGCUCAGGGCUGAGAAGGGACCUUCACAGACCUUGGGUCGUGUUAAUCUUCGGAGACUUCACCCCACAUGUUCAAAUAUAUCCAUAGCUCACAUGUUCAAAUAUGUCCAUAGCUCAUUAAUGACAUUUAAAAAAAUUAAAGGCAGGAUAGGAAUAUCUUAAUUUUAAAUGUUUUCUAACAGUCUCAGAAUUCUUCUAGUAUGAAACCACAUUAUUUCAAACGCAGUUUUUAUCAAUGUUACAUUUAAAAAUGAAGUUGACAGAUUUUAGUAAAUGAUUGCAUGUAAACAUUAAUUUGAAUUUUGCAGUUUCUUUAAUAUUAGAGAACAUGAUGAGGUGGUUUUCUGGUCUUGUGCAUUUUUAGUGGUCCCUAAAAAAUGGGCUAUAAGGAUUUCUUAGAUGAUUAACAGCAUUUCAGAGCACGAGUCAUGGUUCAGAGACAGUUUUUAAAGUUCUGCUUUAUUGAGGUAUAAUUAACAUCAACUAUAUAGUUUGAUAAAGUUUGACAAAUGUAUACAGUUGUGUAAUUGUCACCACAAUCAAUACGCAACGUUUUCAUCACCCUAAAAAGUUCCCCAUGUCUCUCUGUAGCUAAUACCCUUCCUCCUAUUCCAAGUGUUUGGCUACUUGGAAUCAUACUGUGCGUAGUGGAAAAAAAUGGUGAAGAUUAAAAAGCACAGAACCUUUAAUAAGAGAAGGGGAGGGGCGAAGGAGCAGCCAGAAAGUAAAAUAAUUUAUUUAGAUAGUGGAGUUUCAUGCUUCAGAGAGGUGUGUAGUGGAAGGGAAUUGUGAAUCCUGAAAGCUAUGGGAAUUGGUAAUUUAGUCUUUAGCCAGCUUAUGUAAGUUUAAGGUAGAGGAUACAAGCAGGUAGUCAAAAGGGCCCAGAUGCAGCCUGCCCUGAUGUGAUCCUCAUGAAGUGUUUCAAAGAAAUAGAGCACCUUUCUGUAAAAAUAGAUCCACGUAAAGUUUUCAAAAUAUUCCUGAGUCUGGCAAGGGUGGGCCUACCUGAAGUUUCUCCUGACACACUGUUAAUUAGCUGCUUUGUAGGUAGGCAUGUAUUCUUCAGUUUGCCAGAACCCCUUGCAUGCCUUCAUUUAGUCUACCUGUAGGCAUUGUUGGGUGAGAAAGGGUUUUGAAGUGGGAAAGCUUGCAAAGACUGCUUUUAACGGAAAGUUUUCAUGGGCAGGAUUGAGACCAAGAGGAAAGAAACUUCAAGUUAAUGGACUACCUUGAAAUUUUAGGCAAAACCUGUACCUGUGUCAUGGGAGAGACUGGGAUUAUGGCCACACUUGAUCUGAAGUUGAGGUCAAACUUGGUGAUGUUGCCUUGAAAAUAGAGAUUUUCAUAGACCAGGACGAAGAUAGAAGGGAAAGUUACAAGGGACUUCAGCUUAAAUUUAGUCUCUCUUAUCUUGGCACAGAGGGAUGUAUCUGUUAAUCUGAGGUGGAUCAAGUUCAGGCUUGAGAGAGGGAGUAAUGCAUGAGACUUUGAAAGUAGUUUGAUUGUGAGUAAGCAAGAGAUGGUGAAAGAGAUGCCUUAGAUCAUGGGCAUACUUAGAUCUUACAAUUUUGAUGAUGAAUUCACGCUAGCCUGAGAACUGAAGUGGAAGGCUACCCCUGGUUGAUGAUGGGUAGCAGGGAUGUAGAAAAGUGCUAAAGUCUUUAAGAUCUUGCCCUUUAAAAGAAUCAUCAGGUGGGGCAGAUGAUUAAAGAUCAUUACUUAGGGUUUAAUGCGUUCAGUGUGUUUAGAUUUGCGUGGCAGUUAUUAAAAUAAGGCAUGCUAUCAGUUUGAGGGACUGAGUUACUUAAAACCAUGAAUAGAUAGAAAUUCAUUCUAAUGAUUACACAGGUGUGUGUUUUUUAUUUUAGAUUAUAUUAAAAAGUACAGUUGCUAAGAUGCUGGGAAAUAUUUCAACUGUGGCACUAGCACUGUUAGCUUUAGCAGAGAAGCUAGUUUUUUUUUUUUUUUUUUUUUUUUAAUAGGAGACAGGGUCUCACUCUGUCUCUCAGGCUAGAGUGCAGUGGUGCCAUCUCGGCUCACUGCAGCCUCUGCCUCACAGGUUCAAGCGAGUCUCAUGCCUCAGCCUACCGAGUAAUUGGGAUUACAGGCACCCGCCACCACGCCCAGCUAAUUUUUGUAUUUUUAGUAGAGAUGGGGUUUCACCAUGUUGGUCAGGUUGGUCUUGAACUCCUAACCUCAAGUGGUCUGCCCUCCUCAGCCACCUUAAGUGUUGGGAUUACAGGCGUGAGCCACCAUGCCCAGCUGGUAUUGAGUUCUUAAGAAGGGAAAUACAUUGAUUUUUAAGGAAGAUAGAUAAAACUUGUGCAGUAGAUUAUAAAAGAAAUGAUUAGAAUUUCAUCUCUGACUGAUUUGUGAUAACGAGUAUGUUAUUAUUUUAGAUUAUUUGCUUUUUAGUGUACUGUCUCAGUUCUGCUUACACAAAAACAUGCUGAAGACUUUUUUGUAAGAUAUUUACUUAAAAAAUUUUAAAGUUUUAUAUUUGGGUGUUUUGUUGAAUCACUGUUUCCCAAGAUUAUAUUAAUGAAAUACAGCUUACAACUCAUUUUCUUUUUUCUUAUUAUUUCCCUUUUUACACUUAAGGAGGGCUGAAUGGAUAACUUUUAAGGUAUUGUCUUAAGUGUUAAAUGUCUGAGUAUGCUUUCCUUGCCUCUCCAGAAAUAUUUUAAUAACCUUAGAGAAACAUGUAGGAUUUUCUACAAAAAGUGUCGGCUGCUUUAGCGGUUUCUCCCUGAAGUGAUGUGUAACUGAUCAGGAUCUACUCAUGUCGUCUUUGGUAAAGUUAUGUCGCUUGUCAGGGUGAGGAGAGUUUUUGAGAUGCAAAUUUUCCCGUUUUUGUUUUAUUACCAUGGAGAAAUGUAAUAGUUGGUGUCUUUUGGUAUAGCUAACUUUUAAACAGUACAGGUGGCUCUUGGACAGUCACUGUUUUAAACAAGCAGCAGUAAGGCAGACUGAAGACAGUAGGAAAAAUGAUCAACAUGGUGGAAGGAAAGAAAGCAGUCAGUAACAACUUAUAUAAUAAUUUGCAGGAACUCUUAGAACUGAACCUUACAGUUAAGUUGUGAUAUCUGGGGUAGAUUGUAUUAUUUCCUUAUUUCAGAAGAACUGAGGCCCCAGGUCACAUGGCUGUUUAUCUGCAGAGCUGGCAUUCCACUCUGCUUAGCUAAGUGCUCCCUCAACCUUGAUGCUAUUUUUCCUGAGCUGGGUGCCAGGGGAGCUUGGAUAUGUAAAGCUUGGUUGAUGUCCUUGAUAGGUGCAUGGUUCUAAGAUUGUGAUUUUCAUCCUAAGUUUAGGAAGUUACACACCUGCGUGGACAAGGUGGGUCUAAUUAUUUUUCAUUCUGGUUUAAUGUUGACAAGAAAACAGACAUGGAAGAGGACUUUCCUGCACUCCUGGUCUUCCUUUUCCUUAAGUAGUGCUACAAGGGUCUGACCGGAAGAUCUUUUUACUGGUGGCUUGCUGCUUAAUAUAAUACAGGUUUUGAGUACAAUCAUUUCUUCGUAUUGUUUUUAAAGUAGAGCAAUGAUAUGACUAGUCUGAAGUGAACAUAGUCUAGAAGUCACUUGCUUGGUUUGGGGAUUAGAAGUAUUUGCAAGGUGAACCACCCAUUCUCUUCUGCUUAUUUACACUACACUGCUUUUAUCCAUAACUUGGAGCCAUCAUUAAGAUAGACUGUUUUUUCUAUCUCUGUCCUUGGAACCUGUUCAGGUAUUUAAAGCUGUUUUCCUCUGCUAGGCUUUGAGUUUCUUAAGGGUUGGAGCCAUAUCAUUAUGUCCCUUGCACCUGGUUGUGGUAUACAAUAUCAUUCUUUCAGCAAAUACUUUUAUUUAUUUAUUUAUUUGAGGCAGAAUCUCGCUCUGUUGCUCAGGCUGGAGUGCAGUGGCACGAUCUGGCUCACUGCAACCUCUGCCUCCCAGGUACAAGUGUUUCUCCUGUCUCAGCCUCCCGAGUAGCUGGGAUUACAGGCGCCCACCAUCACAUCCGGCUAAUUUUUGUAUUUUUAGUGGAGAUGGGGUUUCGCCAUGUUGGCCAGGCUUGUCUUGAACUCCUGACCUCAAGUGAUCCACCCACCUCGGCCUCCCAAAGUGCUGGGAUUACAGGCGUGAGCCACCGCGCCCGGCCAAGCUUCUUUCUUUAUAUGGACUUUGAAACAUUUACUGUGACUCUUGGGAUUUCUAGUUGAAGUCACCUGCAAAGGGAUUCCCCCUGUAAAUGUCCAUAUUGCAUAUUGCUGUGAAUAUGACUGGAGGUUGUAACUUACCUGAAUGUUUCCCUUUCCUGAUUACAUGCCAGGUAAUACUGAAAGGGAAAUGUCCAGAAAGGUUGUAUUGGAUGCUUUCAGAAGAAUCACAACCUUUUCAUGAAUAAACCUCCUUUAUUUAUGAAUGGACAUUGUGCGGUCUGUGACAAUGUUUAUAAGUGCUUUUAGAAAUCAUUUUCAUUGUAAAAAGUAUAUUAGAUGUCUUUUGCCAAAUUUUAUCUAGUUAGUAAUUAUAAACAGUAUCAGUCUUAUUUUCCUAUUGUUUAUGAACAAUAUAAAGACCUCUUAAUAGUGAUCUAAAAGUUUUCUAUUGUCACUGGGUUACCUUCAGAAUUUCUAGGCCUGUUAGAUUUAUUUUUGUCGUUAGCAUUUAAAGUUUUGCUCUGUAUUAGAAAAUAGAAAACUUAGAAAAACAGGUAGUGGCAGUUCAUCACUUCCCCCACUUUUAUUUCCAAGUCAUUAUCUAGUUUCUCAAUGUGGCAUUGCAACUCUGAUUUUUUACUGUUCGUGCACUAAAGCAUUUGAGAUAAGCCCUUAGUGUUGAGGAAAUCCUAAAUCCUACUGCUGGGGGGUUAAAAGAAAUAUAGUGACAGGCUAUGAAAUAGUGUUGUCAUAACUUAUCAGUGGCUAGUAAAUAGGGUAGUUGCCUUCUGACACCAUUUUGCGGUGGCUCACGCCUGUAAUCCCAGCACUUUGGGAGGCCGAGGCAGGCGGAUCACGAGGUCAGGAGAUCGAGACCAUCCUGGCAAACACGGUGAAACCCCGUCUCUACUAAAAAUACAAAAAAAAAAAAAAAUUAGCCGGGCGCGGUGGCCGGCGCCUGUAGUCUCAGCUACUCGCGAGGCUGAGGCAGGAGAAUGGCGUGAACCCGGGAGGCGGAGCUUGCAGUGAGCCGAGAUCGUGCCACUGCACUCCAGCCUGGGCGACAGAGCGAGACUCCGUCUCAAAAAAAAAAAAAAAAAAAAAAAAAAAGUAUUUAUUCCCUAAGCAUAUUCAUUAUAUGCAUUUCUAGGUAUUUUGUUGCAGGGACGCUUUCAGAUUAUCUGUCUUCAGAAUUGCUAGAUACAGAAGUUGACCACUCCCUUUUAAUCUUUAAAUCAAGGACAGGAUUGAGGUCAAUAUCGCUGUGUGCUGUCUUUGUCAACAAGAAAUCGGCAUUUAUUUUGCACUGCAAAUGAGAAAAACAAAAGUGCCUGGUCCUAGGCCAACAGCUUUUUUAAAACCAUAAUUGUAGGGAUUUGAGCUACUGUGCUGGGCCGAGGGCAAAGGUGAACCCGAUGGCUCUGAGCGAAUGGCUCACCUGGGCUUCCCAGGAGGAGCAGAGUCAUUUGGGGGCAGCACUGAAACCUAAUUCACCAACUGAGGUCAGCAGAGCUGGGAAUGAGUUGGGCGAUUCUCUGGAUUCACUCCUUGCCUUUGGAGCAUGACUGUUGAAACAUUCCUGGGCUCCAGGGUUAAAAAAAAAAAAAGUCCCCACUCCUGGGUGUUCCCUCUCCAUUCCCCUGCCUGGCCCCAAACUCCCCAGGCUGAGACUUGAUGGGUUUUGGGGAUACUGCUGUGGAUGGAGAAAUCCUUGCUCUCUUGGCUCCAUGCAGAGGCCUUCCGGCAAUUGGUGACAGUUGCACCCACUGUGUGGCUAACACUUCAGCCUGGCUGCCUGUCCCCGGCAGCCGGCGGAGUCAGCGCGCCCACGUGACGGCCCCGGCUCUCCGUUCCGUUCCCUUUGCCAUUCCCUUCCCCCUCCUUUUCUUUUAUUUUCGAGAGAAUUUCUUCUUGGCUUAUUGGUUUAAUUUGAUUUUUAAAAUUUUGGGUUGCUUUUGUGUAUGUGUGCUUUUUUUUUCUUUCCUCAUUUUAUUUGCAUCCAGAGCAUGGCGGGCUGCGGGCUGUCGGAAGACACCCUCUUCUCUUCCUUCUUUUACAACUACGGCUCCUCCUGGGAAACCCCUUCCAACCAGAGAGAUGAAGAAUACAUGUGCAUAACGGGCCUUACUGAUCUCCAGUUUGCAUUUUCAGCAUUUGAGCAUGGGCACAUGUUUGAGAAACCUGCUCCUAACUGUUCCUAAGAAGAAAAAGAAUACAACAAAGGCGAUACUUUAAAUCUCAUCUUGGACUCGGGCAGAGCUGCUAUAGGAAGGCCUGGGCCAAAUUUGCAAGAGUGAGACUUGUUCAUGAUUUUACCCUGAUUGCUGCCAAAAUGCUUACAUAUCCUGCGUUUCCUAAAAAUGGCAAUGUUCUUCAGAUAUAAUUUGUUUACUCUACCUCAAUUAAAAUGAGGCAGGAGAAUGGCGUGAACCUGGGAGCGGAGGUUGCAGUGACCCGAGUUUGCGCCACUGCACUCUAGCCUGGGGGACAGAGCAAGACUCCAUCUUAAAACAAACAAACAAACAAACAAACAAACAAACAAAAAACAGUAUCUUUUGUUAUUCCUGAGAUAAUUCCAAGAGAAGAGGAAUGUUGACUAUAUCCUAUGGCAUCAUUAUUGUUUGUCUGAUUGGACCCAGGCUAGAAAUCUUAAAGAUAUUUGUGAAAAAUAAAGCUCAUAUUCAAGAUGAAACAUUAAACCCCACAGUGAAGGUCAUUCUCAUUCUCUCUGGCUUGCCCCUCUUUCUUUCUCACUUGACUUUCUCAUAAUUUUUUUCAACAACGUCUUUGGACCCCGGUUCAUUAAACUCUCCCUCCCCACAUCUGAUUUUUCCCCAAGAAAGUGCAUUCUGGAGAGGGCAGGGGGAGUGACUAUUCAUUUGUCUACACUUCCCAGGCUCAAAGGAGCUGUGGUCACUAUUGCUUCCAAAACAUUCCUUUGCCAUAAUCCUGCAUUAGAGCAAAGCACUGAAUUGGCUUCUCUUUUGGAAGAAUUCCUUUUGGAGAAAAAGUCUCCUUCUUGGACCUUAAGGGAUUUGGCUCUGAGGGUUGAGUCAUGUUCCCAUGAAUGCACAGUAAAAUCAUGGUAAAUCCAAGCCUAGAACCCCAGAGCCUAUUUGUAUAACCAUCAACUGGUCAUUUUAUCAGGAUUUAUCUUGGAUUUUUGAUGUGCAAAGAUCAGAGUGGUUAUAACAGAAGUCUCUACAGAGCUACCGCAGAAUCCCUAUGCCUACUGUUGAGACGCUUUCUAAUGCUGUCUUGGAAUUCUUCCCGUUUCUUCUGGAAAUCUUUUUUUCACGUGAAAGCAGUUGCUGGUAGUACCCAGAUGGUGGCCAUAUAGUCCCUAGGUAUGACAGUCUGCCCAAUACCAGUUAAACAUUAUAAAUAGUCAGUGGGUACUCCUUGAAUGACUUUUAACCUUGAACCACCAUAUGAAGUCAGUCUAUCUGAUUUGCGCUAAGUCUUUGGUGCUUCAUGAAAUCCCUCUGCUCUCCUCGGUUAGCUACCUUCCAAUCCCUGAUGGCAGCACAUCCAAAAUGAGCUCUCCCUCACCCUGUGCAGGUUGUGCAGAAAAUCUUCCCUCAUCUUUCACAGAGAGAGAAAAAAAUGGAGUCUUGCUCUGUCUCCCAGGCUGGAGUGCAGCGGUGUGAUCUCAGCUUACCACAACCUCCACCUCCCGGGUUCAAGUGAUUCUCCCACGUCAACCUCCCGAGUAGCUGGGAUUACCAGGCACCCGCCACCACACCUGGCUACUUUUUUGGUAUUUUUUUUUAGUAGAGAAAGGGUUUCACCAUGUUGGUCAGGCUGGUCUUGAACUCCUGACCUCAGGCGAUCCGCCUGCCUCAGCCUCCCAGAGUGCUGGGAUGACAGGCUUGAGCCCCCGCGCCCGGCCCCUACUUUCUGUCUCAGGGUCUGUGCCUUACUUCAGACUCAUACCAUGUCUCUUCUGGACUCUUGCCUUGUAGUGAAAUUCUCAGUAAUUUCACUGGGUUUUGUUUUGGGAAGAAGCUGGUAUAUCGCUGCUGUUUUUGUUCGUAUGCUGUCAAGGAGAUUGAAGUUUAUUUGAAAUGUUCCUUUUAUUUUUAAAUGGCACUUGGGACUUUUCAUCCUUAGAAGCCCUGUUUUUCUUCCCCUUUAAAUUAGGGACUAAGGUUAGAGGAGGAGUUGGAUUUAUUUUCUGACACUUUCUGAAUAAUUAGUUAUUAUGUCUCAGAAAGAAUCACAAUAUCAAUAGUAUAUGUUCUGGAAUUACGAAGUAUUAUAUUAGAGGGCUUUACCUCUCUACCUUCU